ACCCACGAGUGUUGAAAAACUCGGGGAUGAGCCGGGCGGGGGAGUGAAAGUCUAAUCAAACGUGGAGAUAGCUCGUUCUCUCCGAAAUAACUUUAGGGUUAGCGUUGGAAUAGUUGGCGACGGGGGUAGAGCGACUGAAAUCGAACGGAGGGCUACCCGCCUAUCCGUCGAUACCAAACUCCGAAUACCGUCGUACCAAGUUCCUGCAGCUAGACUGCGAGGGAUAAGCUUCGUAGUCGAGAGGGAAACAGCCCAG
rnacentral:rRNA from 1 species